rnacentral:rRNA from 1 species
GAUGAACGCUGGCGGCGUGCCUAAUACAUGCAAGUCGAGCGAAUGGAUUAAGAGCUUGCUCUUAUGAAGUUAGCGGCGGACGGGUGAGUAACACGUGGGUAACCUGCCCAUAAGACUGGGAUAACUCCGGGAAACCGGGGCUAAUACCGGAUAACAUUUUGAACCGCAUGGUUCGAAAUUGAAAGGCGGCUUCGGCUGUCACUUAUGGAUGGACCCGCGUCGCAUUAGCUAGUUGGUGAGGUAACGGCUCACCAAGGCAACGAUGCGUAGCCGGCCUGGGAGGGUGAUCGGCCACACUGGGACUGAGACACGGCCCAGACUCCUACGGGAGGCAGCAGUAGGGAAUCUUCCGCAAUGGACGAAAGUCUGACGGAGCAACGCCGCGUGAGUGAUGAAGGCUUUCGGGUCGUAAAACUCUGUUGUCAGGGAAGAACAAGUGCCGGAGUAACUGCCGGCGCCUUGACGGUACCUGACCAGAAAGCCACGGCUAACUACGUGCCAGCCGCCGCGGUAA